AGCGAACAUUGGCGGUAGGCUUAACACAUGCAAGUCGAGCGAGGCGUAAUAGUCGAGCGGCGAACGGGUGAGUAACACAUGGGAAUCUACCCUGAAGUGGGGGAUAACGUUCAGAAAUGAACGCUAAUACCGCAUAAUCCACAUUGGGAAAGCGUUGCAGCGCUUUAGGAUGAGCCUAUGGUUGAUUAGCUAGUUGGUGAGGUAAUGGCUCACCAAGGCGACGAUCGGUAGCUGGUCUGAGAGGAUGAUCAGCCACACUGGGACUGAGACACGGCCCAGACUCCUACGGAGGCAGCAGUGGGGAAUAUUGGACAAUGGGCGCAAGCCUGAUCCAGCCAUGCCGCGUGAGUGAUGAAGGCCCUAGGGUUGUAAAGCUCUUUCGCCAGGGACGAUAAUGACGGUACCUGGAUAAGAAGCCCCGGCUAACUUCGUGCCAGCCGCCGCCGUAA
rnacentral:rRNA from 1 species